rnacentral:rRNA from 1 species
UACGUAGGGGCCUAGCGUUGUCCGGAUUUAUUGGGCGUAAAGAGCUCGUAGGCGGUUUGUCGCGUCUGCUGUGAAAACUGGAGGCUCAACCUCCAGCCUGCAGUGGGUACGGGCAGACUAGAGUGCGGUAGGGGAGAUUGGAAUUCCUGGUGUAGCGGUGGAAUGCGCAGAUAUCAGGAGGAACACCGAUGGCGAAGGCAGAUCUCUGGGCCGUAACUGACGCUGAGGAGCGAAAGCAUGGGGAGCAAACAGG